AACGAACGCUGGCGGCAGGCCUAACACAUGCAAGUCGAGCGGACCUUUCGGGGUCAGCGGCGGACGGGUGAGUAACGCGUGGGAAUAUGCCCUUCUCUACGGAAUAGUCCUGGGAAACUGGGGGUAAUACCGUAUACGCCCUUUGGGGGAAAGAUUUAUCGGGGAAGGAUUAGCCCGCGUUGGAUUAGGUAGUUGGUGGGGUAAUGGCCUACCAAGCCGACGAUCCAUAGCUGGUUUGAGAGGAUGGUCAGCCACACUGGGACUGGGACACGGCCCGGACUCUUACGGGAGGAGGCAGUGGGGAACCUUGGAAAAUGGGGGCAACCAUGAUGGACCCAUGCCCGGUGAGUGAUGAAGGCCUGAGGGUUGAAAAGCGUUUGCAGCUGGGAAGAUAAUGACGGUACCUAAAGAAAAAGCCAAGGCUAACUCCGUG
rnacentral:rRNA from 1 species